rnacentral:rRNA from 1 species
CCUACGGGUGGCAGCAGUAGGGAAUUUUGCGCAAUGGGCGAAAGCCUGACGCAGCAACGCCGCGUGAUUGAUUAAGCCCUUCGGGGUGUAAAGAUCUGUCAGUGGGGACGAAACUUGACGGUACCCACAGAGGAAGCACCGGCUAACUCCGUGCCAGCAGCCGCGGUAAUACGGAGGGUGCAAGCGUUGUCCGGAAUCAUUGGGUUUAAGGGGUGCGUAGGCGGUCCGUUAAGUCAGCGGUAAAAUUGCGGGGCUCAACCCCGUCGAGCCGUUGAAACUGGCAGACUUGAGUGGGCGAGAAGUACGCGGAAUGCGAGGUGUAGCGGUGAAAUGCAUAGAUAUCGCGCAGAACUCCGAUUGCGAAGGCAGCGUACCGGCGCCAGACUGACGCUGAGGCACGAAAGCGUGGGGAUCGAACAGGAUUAGAUACCCCUGUAGUC